rnacentral:lncRNA from 10 species
UUAUCUUUCUUACAGAAUGUUCUUCAACUCAGGUGAAUCUGACGUCUCCUCAUGAACACAUUCAGCUUUGCAUUCUCAGCUGGAACAUUACGAAAGUGAUAUAGUGUGCUUUGCAGGGCGUGACUUCGGGAAGCACCUGAGGCGCAGCAGGACACGAUGCGGCAGGACCCAGUGUUCCACGCAAGGACCUGCAGUCCUGGUUCAAAUCCAGACACUGCCAUAGGAAGCUUAGCUCUACGUGAGGAGAUUAGCGACUGUUCCAUGCGGGAAACAAACCAACCAAGCCAAAGCCUGCAAGUCUCUCCCAAGCUGCCAGCAAGUGAGCCAGGUGGACCUCCAGGGCGUAGGAUGCAGCUGGGAAAACAACCGACCCGCUGCUUUUCCGGGUCCCUGCGCUUGCUGCGUCUCCUCUGGCUGCAGAGACUCAGCCCGGCUCAGAGCUGGGGAACUCGGUUAUUCUUUUGAAGCGUCAAGGGCACUUGUCAGCUUUGAAAUAAUACAUUUGCU